CUUGGUCAUUUAGAGGAAGUAAAAGUCGUAACAAGGUUUCCGUAGGUGACCUGCGGAAGGAUCAUUAUCGAAAUUGGAGAAAGGGGGGGGGGAAGAUGGGGAAGGGUAGACUGUCGCUGGCUUCAGAGCGAUCUGGAGCAUGUGCACGUCUCUCUUUUCGUCGACCCUCUCUAACACACACACACACCUGUGCACCCUUUGUAGGUCCUCGAGAGAGGGUCUAUGUUUUCUACAUCACACCUAAUGUAUGGCUACAGAAUGUAUCUAGACUGUCGCUCGACCCUGGUCGGGUGGUGGUCGAAUAAAUAAAUACAACUUUCAGCAACGGAUCUCUUGGCUCUCGCAUCGAUGAAGAACGCAGCGAAUUGCGAUAAGUAAUGUGAAUUGCAGAUUUUCAGUGAAUCAUCGAAUCUUUGAACGCACCUUGCGCUCCUUGGUAUUCCGAGGAGCAUGCCUGUUUGAGUGUCAUUCGAAUUCUCAACCAUGUCUUGUAGUGAGGCUUGGCUUGGAGUUGGGGGUUGCUGGCGGCGAAGGUCGUCGGCUCUCCUGAAAAGUAUUAGCAAAGGGCAGCAAGUCUCUGACGUGGCACGGCCUCUUCGACGUGAUAGCGAUCGUCGUGGGCUGGAAGCGUUGGGGACUGCAUGGAUUGUCUUGUUUGCUUCCAAUAUAUCCCCUCACAUCAAGACUUUGAGACUCGAGCGAAGGUUGGCUUAGCUAUUAGUUUGGUCGUGAGGCCAUCGAACGCGGUCCGCUGGGUUUCGAGCUCUCAGGGACUCGAGCGAAAGGUUGGCUUAGCUAUUAGUCGGUCGUGAGGCCGGGCGAACGCGGUCGGGCUGGGUUUCGAGUUCGGGGACUCGAGGAAAGGGUCGGCUUAGCUAUUAGUUGGUCGCGAGGCCAGCGAACGCGGUCGGGCUGGAUUUCGAGUUCCAGGUCUCGUUCUUUUGACACCUUGACC
rnacentral:rRNA from 1 species